AAUAUUUGACAAUGGGGGGAACCCUGAUCCAGCCAUGCCGCGUGUGUGAAGAAGGUCUUCGGAUUGUAAAGCACUUUAAGUUGGGAGGAAGGGCAGUAAGUUAAUACCUAGCUGUUUUGACGUUACCGACAGAAUAAGCACCCGCUAACUUCUUGCCAGCAGCCGCGGUAAUACGAAGGCUGCAAGCGUUAAUCGUAAUUAUUGGGCGUAAAGCGGGCGUAGGUGGUUUGUUAAGUAGGAAGUGAAAGCCCCGGGCUUAACCUGGGAAUUGCUUUCAAAACUGACGAGCUAGAGUACGGUAGAGGGUAGUGGAAUUUCCUGUGUAGCGGUGAAAUGCGUAGAUAUAGGAAGGAACAUCAGUGGCGAAGGCGACUACCUGGACUGAUACUGACACUGAGGUGCGAAAGCGUGGGGAGCAAACAGG
rnacentral:rRNA from 1 species